GACAGAGGGUGCAAACGUUGCUCGGAAUUACUGGGCGUAAAGCGCGUGUAGGCGGUGCCGCACGUCCGAUGUGAAAGCCCAGGGCUCAACCCUGGAAGUGCACUCGAAACUCCCGAGCUGGAGUCCCGGAGAGGAAGGCGGAAUUCUCGGUGUAGAGGUGAAAUUCGUAGAUAUCGAGAGGAACACCUGUGGCGAAGGCGGCCUUCUGGACGGUGACUGACGCUGGAGACGCGAAAGCGUGGGGAGCAAACAGG
rnacentral:rRNA from 1 species